rnacentral:rRNA from 1 species
ACGUAGGUGGCAAGCGUUGUCCGGAUUUACUGGGUGUAAAGGGCGUGUAGGCGGGACUGCAAGUCUGAUGUGUAAUCUGGUGGCUCAACCACCAAACUGCAUUGGAAACUGUAGUUCUUGAGUAUCGGAGAGGCAGGCGGAAUUCCUAGUGUAGCGGUGAAAUGCGUAGAUAUUAGGAAGAACACCAGUGGCGAAGGCGGCCUGCUGGACGACAACUGACGCUGAGGCGCGAAAGCGUGGGGAGCAAACAG